rnacentral:lncRNA from 1 species
CGGAUUUGUCCUUUAGAUAACAAUUCAUCAACUUGCCUUUGGAGUUCUUUUGUUUCCUCCGGAUUUGCUCGAUAUGCUGAACGGUUUGGAAUAGUUGCACCAGGCUAGAAAUCAAUUUGAUGCUCAAUACCUCGAAUUGGAGGUAAUCCAUCAGGCACUUCCUCGGGUAGCACAUCUGCAAAAUCAUUCAAAACACCAACAAUUUCUAAAGGCAAAUCGUUAGGUAACUCAUUAGUAACCAAACAAGUUUCAUCGUACAAAAGCAUAAUCACUGGUUUGUGAGAAUUCAUGGCCCUAUCUACAUCUCUCAUGCUAGCAAAGAAAGCGCCUUCUUUCUCACUUGCUUUUGGCUUUUUCUCCACACACUCCUUAGGCUUUUUCAGCUCACUUUCAUAUUCAAGCCUUUUUUCCCUCAUUCUCAUAUGAUCUUUAUGUACUUGCUGGGGUGUCAAAGGUACAAGGGUAUAAGCCUUUUGUUUGUGAACAAUUCGGUACUUGUUGGAUCUGCCAUCUGAUUGGCUUCAUGAUCAAACUCCCAUGGCCGUCCAAGUAGAAUAUGACCUGCACUCAUUGGUACUACAUCACAAAGAACUUCAUCCUCAUAUUUACCAAUGGAAAAUUUUACCAUAGCUUGCCAAUCACCCUUAUUUCUCCACUAUCAUUGAGCCAUUGCAAGCGAUAUGGUGUAGGAUGCUUGAUCAUUGACAACUCCAACUUGU